rnacentral:rRNA from 1 species
AUUGAACGCUGGCGGCAGGCCUAACACAUGCAAGUCGAACGAGUGGCGGACGGGUGAGUAAUGUCUGGGAAACUGCCCGAUGGAGGGGGAUAACUACUGGAAACGGUAGCUAAUACCGCAUACCAUCGGAUGUGCCCAGAUGGGAUUAGCUUGUAGGUGAGGUAACGGGGCACCUAGGCGACGAUCCCUAGCUGGUCUGAGAGGAUGACCAGCAACAGUGGAACUAGGCCACGGUCCAGAAUACUACGGGAGGCAGCAGUGGGGAAUAUUGCAAAAGGGGCGCAAGUCUGAUGCAGCCAUGCCGCGGGUAUGAAGAAGGCCUGCGGGUUGUAAAGUACUUUCAGCGAGGAGGCGUUACCCGCAGAAGAAGCACAGGCUAACUCCGUGCCAGAAGCCGCGGUAAUUC